rnacentral:rRNA from 1 species
CAGCAGUAGCCGCGGUAAUACGUAGGGUGCGAGCGUUAAUCGGAAUUACUGGGCGUAAAGCGUGCGCAGGCGGUUGUGUAAGACAGGUGUGAAAUCCCCGGGCUUAACCUGGGAACUGCGCUUGUGACUGCACAGCUAGAGUAUGGCAGAGAGGGGUGGAAUUCCACGUGUAGCAGUGAAAUGCGUAGAGAUGUGGAGGAACACCGAUGGCGAAGGCAGCCCCCUGGGCCAAUACUGACGCUCAUGCACGAAAGCGUGGGGAGCAAACAGGAUUAGAUACCCCCGUAGUCCCUGUCUCUUAUAC